rnacentral:misc_RNA from 1 species
UCGAAGUUGCUGGCAUACCUAUUCAUUUCUAUCAACGACCAUGGUCAAUAGCUUAUAUCAUUCAACAAUCAUCGAACUCAAACACUCGAGUCAUUGCCGGCGGUUAACACCUUCGACGCGCUUGCCGUUUCAACGCUCCGUGUUUGGUAUUGAUCUGUUUCUUUACUUCAUUCGCCGUCCGUACGCUCGUUUGGUUCUUUCGAUUGCCGGACAUUCGGUAUAACUUACUUCCCAGCUCUCACCCACUUUACGGACGUUGACGACUCCCGAGAGCAGCUGUACGCACAACGAGAACGUCCGCCGACGGCCAUGGCUUUCAAUUUCCCGGCGUGCACCUACAUCGUGGCCAUGAUAACCGACGCUUUUCUGUUGUUUUUCUCUGUGUUUCACGUGAUUGCGUUUGAUGAACUGAAAAAUGACAGCAAGAAUCCUAUAGAUCAAUGCAACAGCUUAAAUCCAUUAGUGAUUCCAGAAUAUAUUUUACAUUUCUUCUCCAAUUUGCUGUUUUUGUUUGGAGGCCAGUGGUUAUCCAUUGCUAUAAAUGUUCCAUUAAUGGCUUAUCAUAUUUCAAAGUAUCGAAAUAGACCAGCUAUGUCUGGCUUUGGUCUCUAUGAUCCAACAAGUAUUAUGAAUGCCGAUAAACUAAAUAAAUAUCAACGUGAAGGUUGGAUAAAAUUGGCAUUUUAUUUGUUCUCAUUUUUUUACUACUUAUAUGGAAUGAUAAGAGCAUUAAUCACAGUUUAAAUCUAAGAUGCUCGGAAGUCUGAACAUUCAUCUUGUACAACUAUAAUAGAUUAAAAGUUAAAUAUAACUAUGGGCAGGUGGAACAAUAAUCACCAGAUUGAAUAGCCCCAACAUUUUUAAUUAUUUCAGUAAAUAUGUAUGUUUCUGGCAAUCUGGAAUAUUGGAACUGUGCAUAAAAUAAUUAACAAUUAAGUUAACUGUGUUAAAAAAAUUAUAAAUGAUACUUUUAUUUAA